CCAGAGUCCUACGGGAGGCAGCAGUGGGGAAUAUUGGACAAUGGACCAAGAGUCUGAUCCAGCAAUUCUGUGUGCACGAUGAAGUUUUUCGGAAUGUAAAGUGCUUUCAGUUGGGAAGAAAAAAAUGACGGUACCAACAGAAGAAGUGACGGCUAAAUACGUGCCAGCAGCCGCGGUAAUACGUAUGUCACAAGCGUUAUCCGGAUUUAUUGGGCGUAAAGCGCGUCUAGGUGGUUAUGUAAGUCUGAUGUGAAAAUGCAGGGCUCAACUCUGUAUUGCGUUGGAAACUGUGUAACUAGAGUACUGGAGAGGUAAGCGGAACUACAAGUGUAGAGGUGAAAUUCGUAGAUAUUUGUAGGAAUGCCGAUGGGGAAGCCAGCUUACUGGACAGAUACUGACGCUGAAGCGCGAAAGCGUGGGUAGCAAACAGGAUUAGAUACCCUGGUAGUCCACGCCGUAAACGAUGAUUACUAGGUGUUGGGGGUCGAACCUCAGCGCCCAAGCAAACGCGAUAAGUAAUCCGCCUGGGGAGUACGUACGCAAGUAUGAAACUCAAAGGAAUUGACGGGGGCCCGCACAAG
rnacentral:rRNA from 1 species